GGUGAGUAACACGUAUCCAACCUGCCGAUGACUCGGGGAUAGCCUUUCGAAAGAAAGAUUAAUACCCGAUGGCAUAGUUCUUCCGCAUGGUAGAACUAUUAAAGAAUUUCGGUCAUCGAUGGGGAUGCGUUCCAUUAGGUGGUUGGCGGGGUAACGGCCCACCAAGCCUUCGAUGGAUAGGGGUUCUGAGAGGAAGGUCCCCCACAUUGGAACUGAGACCACGGUCCAAACUCCUACGGGAGGCAGCAGUGAGGAAUAUUGGUCAAUGGACGAGAGUCUGAACCAGCCAAGUAGCGUGAAGGAUGACUGCCCUAUGGGUUGUAAACUUCUUUUAUACGGGAAUAAAGUGAGGCAGGUGUGCCUUAUUGUAUGUACCGUAUGAAUAAGGAUCGGCUAACUCCGUGCCAGCAGCCGCGGUAAUACGGAGGGAUCCGAGCGUUAUCCGGAUUUAUUGGGUUUAAAGGGAGCGUAGGCGGACGCUUAAGUCAGUUGUGAAAGUUUGCGGCUCAACCGUAAAAUUGCAGUUGAUACUGGGUGUCUUGAGUACAGUAGAGG
rnacentral:rRNA from 1 species